AUUGAACGCUGGCGGCAUGCUUUACACAUGCAAGUCGAACGGCAGCGCGGGCUUCGGCCUGGCGGCGAGUGGCGAACGGGUGAGUAAUGCAUCUGAACGUGCCCAGCAGUGGGGGAUAGCCCGGCGAAAGCCGGAUUAAUACCGCAUACGACCUGAGGGUGAAAGCGGGGGACCGAAAGGCCUCGCGCUAUUGGAGCGGCCGAUGUCGGAUUGGCUAGUUGGUGGGGUAAAGGCUUACCAAGGCGACGAUCCGUAGCUGGUCUGAGAGGACGACCAGCCACACUGGGACUGAGACACGGCCAAGACGCCUACGGGAGGCAGCAGUGGGGAAUUUUGGACAAUGGGGGCAACCCUGAUCCAGCCAUGCCGCGUGCGGGAAGAAGGCCUUCGGGUUGUAAACCGCUUUUGUUCGGGAAGAAAUCCUCUGGGCUAAUACCCCGGGGGGAUGACGGUACCGGAAGAAUAAGCACCGGCUAACUACGUG
rnacentral:rRNA from 1 species